rnacentral:tRNA from 6 species
GCCGCGGUGGUGGAACUGGUAGACACGUAGCUCUCAAAAAGCUAUGAGCGCAAGCUCGUGACGGUUCGAGUCCGUCCCGCGGCA